AACGAACGCUGGCGGCAUGCCUAACACAUGCAAGUCGAACGAGACCUUCGGGUCUAGUGGCGCACGGGUGCGUAACGCGUGGGAACCUGCCCUUAGGUUCGGAAUAACUCCCCGAAAGGGGUGCUAAUACCGGAUAAUGUCUUCGGACCAAAGAUUUAUCGCCUUUGGAUGGGCCCGCGUUGGAUUAGCUAGUUGGUAGGGUAAAAGCCUACCAAGGCGACGAUCCAUAGCUGGUCUGAGAGGAUGAUCAGCCACACUGGGACUGAGACACGGCCCAGACUCCUACGGGAGGCAGCAGUGGGGAAUAUUGGACAAUGGGCGAAAGCCUGAUCCAGCAAUGCCGCGUGAGUGAUGAAGGCCUUAGGGUGGUAAAGCGCUGUUACCCGGGAUGAUAAUGACAGUACCGGGAGAAUAAGCUCCGGCUAACUCCGUG
rnacentral:rRNA from 1 species